CCUGCUCAGAGCUGGGCCCCAAAGAAGCCACCCAAUCUGUACAGCCUGUGUUCCUCCCAGGUCUUGCCCAGGUCCUGUGACCACACUUCGGGGCUGCUGCUGUACAGUGGGAUGACUGGUGCCCACCUGGUUUGGUAGAGCAGAAAGCAUCCAGCUCCCCAUGUGCUCAUUCAGGACUGCUGUAUUACAUCACUGCAUCCUCCUCACUGAUCUCCAAGGCAGCGGGCAGGAGCUGCAGAAGAGGCCACUGUCCCUGUCUCAAAGGCUCAGACCAUACAUCUGUCAUCCUCGAGGUCCUUCGGGUACUGUGAAUCAAGACCCAGACCUUGACUUGUGAUAGAACCGUGACAAUCAGCACUGAACCAGUGUUUCCCAGAGUGUGAUUCCUGUACCACUCUGCUGGUAACCAGAUGACUGGGGAGGAGGAGCUCAGCCAUAGGCAUUAAAUAACCAGUUGCAUAGCAGAAAGAGAGUCCCCUCUCCAUUCUUUAUUGUAUCAUCAUCAUCAUCAUCAUCAUCAUCAUCAUCAUCAUCACCACCACAUUAACUCCCACUAUAUGAAAAGGUCAUUUUUGUAAAGACAGACAAAUCUCAGCAAUCUCAUAACUUGACCUAAAGGGAUAUCUUAGACAUACUAGAAGUUCCACAGAAGAAGAAAUGAAUAGGUACAAAACAGUGCGGUUCUGCUCAAAUCCCCUGUGACUCCUUCCCCAGUAUGCUUCACACUAGAAUGUUCUCCUGGGCAUAGCCUGUUGCUUUGAUUUUGGCUGCUAUUGUGAGAGUCCCCUUAUUUCAUUUUCAACAGUUUGUCUGUUAUGUGCCUUGGUGAGAUUUUCUUGAAUUUACCCUGCUUACGUUUGCUGAGCUUCUCCAAUCUGUAUUCCUUUCAACAAAUUUGAG
rnacentral:lncRNA from 1 species